rnacentral:rRNA from 1 species
AUUGAACGCUGGCGGCAGGCCUAACACAUGCAAGUCGAACGAGUGGCGGGCGGGUGAGUAAGGUCUGGGCACAUGCCCGAUGGAGGGGGAUAACUACUGGAAACGGUAGCUAAUACCGCAUAACAUCGGAUGUGGCCAGAUGGGAUGAGCUAGUCGGUGGGGUAACGGCUCACCUAGGCGACGAUCCCUAGCUGGUCUGAGAGGUUGACCAGCAAAACUGGAACUGAGACACGGUCCAGACUCCUACGGGAGGCAGCAGUGGGGAAUAUUGCACAAUGGGCGCAAGCCUGAUGCAGCCAUGCCGCGUGUAUGAAGAAGGCCUUCGGGUUGUAAAGUACUUUCAGCGAGGAGGCGUUACUCGCAGAAGAAGCACCGGCUAACUCCGUGCCAGCAGCCGCGGUAAUAC